rnacentral:rRNA from 1 species
UACAGAGGGGGCAAGCGUUGUUCGGAAUUACUGGGCGUAAAGGGCGCGUAGGCGGCCUGCUAAGUCGAACGUGAAAUCCCCGGGCUCAACCCGGGAACUGCGUCCGAUACUGGCAGGCUUGAAUUCGGGAGAGGGAUGCGGAAUUCCAGGUGUGAGCGGUGAAAUGCGUAGAUAUCUGGAGGAACACCGGUGGCGAAGGCGGCUCACUGGCCCGAUACUGACGCUGAGGCACGAAAGCGUGGGGAGCAAACAGG